rnacentral:rRNA from 1 species
AGCGAACGCUGGCGGCAGGCUUAACACAUGCAAGUCGAGCGGGCGUAGCAAUACGUCAGCGGCAGACGGGUGAGUAACGCGUGGGAACGUACCUUUUGGUUCGGAACAACACAGGGAAACUUGUGCUAAUACCGGAUAAGCCCUUACGGGGAAAGAUUUAUCGCCGAAAGAUCGGCCCGCGUCUGAUUAGCUAGUUGGUGAGGUAAUGGCUCACCAAGGCGACGAUCAGUAGCUGGUCUGAGAGGAUGAUCAGCCACAUUGGGACUGAGACACGGCCCAAACUCCUACGGGAGGCAGCAGUGGGGAAUAUUGGACAAUGGGCGCAAGCCUGAUCCAGCCAUGCCGCGUGAGUGAUGAAGGCCCUAGGGUUGUAAAGCUCUUUCGCCGGUGAAGAUAAUGACGGUAACCGGAGAAGAAGCCCCGGCUAACUUCGUGCCAGCAGCCGCGGUAACAC